rnacentral:rRNA from 129 species
AACUUUCAACAACGGAUCUCUUGGUUCUGGCAUCGAUGAAGAACGCAGCGAAAUGCGAUAAGUAGUGUGAAUUGCAGAAUUCAGUGAAUCAUCGAAUCUUUGAACGCACAUUGCGCCCUUUGGUAUUCCAAAGGGCAUGCCUGUUCGAGCGUCAU